rnacentral:rRNA from 1 species
CAGUCGCCGCGGGAAUACGUAGGGUGCGAGCGUUAAUCGGAAUUACUGGGCGUAAAGUGUGCGCAGGCGGUUUUGUAAGACAGGCGUGAAAUCCCCGGGCUCAACCUGGGAAUGGCGCUUGUGACUGCAAAGCUAGAGUGCGGCAGAGGGGGAUGGAAUUCCGCGUGUAGCAGUGAAAUGCGUAGAUAUGCGAAGGAACACCGAUGGCGAAGGCAAUCCCCUGGGCCUGCACUGACGCUCAUGCACGAAAGCGUGGGGAGCAAACAGGAUUAGAGACCCCUGUAGUCCCUGUCUCUUAUAC